UACGAAGGGGGCUAGCGUUGCUCGGAAUCACUGGGCGUAAAGGGCGCGUGAGGCGGCGUUUUUAAGUCGGGGGUGAAAGCCUGUGGCUCAACCACAGAAUGGCCUCGAUACUGGGACGCUUGAGUAUGGUAGAGGUUGGUGGAACUGCGAGUGUAGAGGUGAAAUUCGUAGAUAUUCGCAAGAACACCGGUGGCGAAGGCGGC
rnacentral:rRNA from 1 species